CCGGCAAUAGACGCGUCUCGGUUAGAACCUCACAGACUGGGUCAUUGCCCCAAGCGCAAAGAUGAAACCUCCUGAAAUGAAUUUACAAUAAAAAUGCCCUCAUUGUCAUGUCAUUCAGCUGACCCUCCAUCCCUCGCUAGCAGAGUAGUAGAGCACAAAGAAAAGAGAGCAAGGAAGGACGUUCCACAUUCAAGCUAUUAUGCGCUGGAGUUGGUUCAUGCCAUUUCAUCAUUUCUUUAUUAAAAGAAAGCGAGGAGAGAGAGCGUUUUAUGAGAAUGGAAGCCUGUUACUUGAGAAGCUGAUUGCCUCUUGCAAUGCCAAGCCUAUUCCCAUCCGUACCUUCUCCCCUCAACAGCUCCGCCAAGCAACCAACAACUUUUCUUCUGAAAAGCUGGUAAUGGAGUUCUCUAUUUGGUACGAGGGUUCUCUUGAAGGAGGAAUUGUUCUCAUUAAAUGUUCUUUUGUUCGCAAUGCCAAACCUAUUCCCAUCCGUACCUUCUCCCCUCAACAACUCCGCCAAGCAACCAAAAAUUAUCCUGCUGAACAUCUGGGAAUUUAUUUUUACAAGGGUUCUCUUGAAGGACGAAUUGUUCUCAUUAAGCGUUUAGGUUUUUGGACCGAUAAAGCCAUCAAUGAUUUAGUGAUUUCUGCACAAAUGAGUGGUCACAGCAAUGUAUUAAAGCCAAUAGGCUGUUGUCUCCACACUCCAUAUCCCGUUUUUGUGUUUGAAUUUGCCGCCAAUGGUUCCCUUGCAGAUCGAAUUUAUGUCUCCCACCGACGUCAGCCGAUGGAGUGGGAGAGAAGGUUAAAGAUUGCAAGGCAGAUUGCUCAUGCUCUUUCUUAUCUCCAUACUGCCUUCCCUAGACCUGUCCUCCACUUGUGUACACAUACGCGCAGUAUCUUAUUAGAUGAACAUGAUGUUCCCAAAUUGUCCCACUUUCAUUUUUCUGUAUCAAUUCCCGAAGGUGAAGCUGACGUGGACGCUCCUUUUCGUUCAAUAUUCUGCGCCCCGGAGUUUGAAGCAACAGGCAAGGCAACUGAGAAAGCUGAUGUAUAUGAUUUUGGUCGGAUUCUUCUAGAACUUUUAACUGGAGAGGAUUCUCUUAAUAUAACCCGAUUUACAAUUGAUAAAGAUUCUACUUUAAUAGCAUACAUACAUAACCGUGCUCAAGGUAGUUGCAUAAACGAGAUUGUGGAUCCUGCAAUCUUGGCUGAAGAUGGGGAAGGAGGUGCUAGUUUACAGCAUCAAUUACAAGCUGUGGUGGACCUUGCCUUGACAUGUACAGAGGAAGAUCCACAAAGAAGGCCAGCUAUGGUUGAUGUCACCAAACAACUCAGGCGGAUUGAAAGGUUCACAAAAAUGGGUGAAGAGCUUGGGGGAAAUUUGCAAAAUUUAAAGCUUCUUGAGAGUUUUGAAGAGCAUGCUUCUGCAUCAUUGAAAAGGAAUGCUUCCAGUGAUGAAAUCCAAGCAGUGAACGAAGCCUCUGAAAGGCCUCUUGAAGUUUAAUUGUGAUGCAACUGAAUGAUGACAGAGCUUGUAUGGCAGUUUUAACUUGUGAUUGGGAAGUUAUCAUUAUGGCAAACCCUUAAGGUAUGUAUUGAUGCUAUAAGAACUGGAGGAUAGGUUGUUAUUGGCAAAGGGGUUUGAUAAUUGUUCUUUUGUUUGAAUAAAAGGAAUGCAAACUAAGUAGUUCAAGGUCUUAGUAACUGGCUAUGUAUAGUGGUUUGUUGGGGGAAAAAAAGACUUCUGUACUGUUUAAUUGGUUUGUAAAUUUUCUUUUUCCAGAUUAUAUAUGAUUUCUCAAUUUAGUUUGGCAAACCUUCUGAUGGAACUCUGCUAGAGAAAUAUAGUUGCAUAGGGCUGCUUGAACUUUGUACAGUAGUGGAGAGAUACAUCAAAGAAAAAACUCUAGGUCACACACUCACACUAACUCAUUUAAUGUGCAAAAACUCUAAUCCAAUUGCCCUGGGUAUCAAUCUAUGCUAAGAUAGAUAUUUGGCAUUGUAAAACAUAUCCAGAUGCCUUAUCCCACAAUCACAAAGGAUUGUCACAAUAGGACCAAUACAGUUUGCCAAAAAAGCAAGUGUUGUUGGUUCAAACACUAGGCCCCCUGAUGAUGGAGGAUUGAGAAAUCAAGUGAUGUUUGAGAAUAAAAAAUAAAUUUCCAAGAAAUUCCUUUCCAAAAAAAUAAAUUUCCAGGCAAUUGCUUUCCAAUUAAGCUUCAGGAGGCCUUCCAAUUCCAAAAAAAUAAAUUUCCAGGCAAUUGCUUUCCAAUUAAGCUUCAGGAGGCCUCUGGAAGGCCUCCUAAAGCUUAAUUGUGAUGCAAUUGAGUGAUUACAGAGCUUCUAUGCUGUUUAGUUGGCUUGUAAAUUUCAAUUAUGAUGCAAGUAAAAUGGAAUUUUAUUAAUGAAUUAUAAUAUGUGGUAACAAUAAUAUUCUCAA